GUAGUCGUAUUCACAUCAAUCCAUAUGCGUUGAGAUGGAUUGGAGUGGAACUUGAACUAAAUUCCACCUCAAUCCACACCAACACGUGGAUUGAAGUGAAUACGACA
rfam:Sorghum bicolor cultivar BTx623 chromosome 9, whole genome shotgun sequence.